UUGCCUGACUCACCGGCGACACCACCCCACUUUCCUCUGUAGAAGUCAACGAGGAUGAAGAGAAAAUCUCUUCUUUGGUAUUGAAAUCAGCACGAAAGGUCAUUGAAAACGGCAAAAUCGGUGGCUAUUGAGUACAACAACUAGGGUUUUCAGUUGAGAAGAAGGGAAAUGAAAGAAAUAAAAUAAAAAAGAGAAGCACUCAACGUGAAAAGAAAAAGAAAGAAAGAAAUAAAAGAAAUGAAAGUUAUGACACCCACGAUUUAUUUUUUUGGUGCAAUAUAAUCUCAAACAAAACAGAUGGUUUACAUAGAAUUAUUCAUAAUUAAAAUGCCUAUAGCUUUAUCCUCUUUU
rnacentral:lncRNA from 1 species